rnacentral:rRNA from 1 species
GCACUGGCUUUACUGAUUCCUCCUUCUUGACGAACCGUGAUGUCAUUAAUUUGGUGUUGCGGGAAAUCAGGACUGUUACUUUGAAAAAAUUAGAGUCGUUUAAAGCAGGCUAGCGCUUGAAUACAUUAGCAUGGAAUAAUGAAAUAGGACGUUAAUCCUAUUUUGUUGGUUUCUAGGAUCGACGUAAUGAUUAAUAGGGAUAGUUGGGGGCAUUAGUAUUCAAUUGUCAGAGGUGAAAUUCUUGGAUUUAUUGAAGACUAACUACUGCGAAAGCAUUUGCCAAGGAUGUUUUCAUUAAUCAAGAACGAAAGUUAGGGGAUCGAAGACGAUCAGAUACCGUCGUAGUCUUAACCAUAAACUAUGCCGACUAGGGAUCGGAUGAUGUUAAUUCUUUAAUGACUCAUUCGGCGCCUUACG